rnacentral:rRNA from 1 species
UACGUAGGGUGCGAGCGUUAAUCGGAAUUACUGGGCGUAAAGAGCGCGUAGGCGGAUUCUUAAGUGAGAGGUGAAAGGUUCAGGGCUCAACCCGGACACUGCCUUUCAUACUGGGAACCUUGAGUGCGGGAGAGGCGAGUGGAAUGGUCGGUGUAGCGGUGAAAUGCGUAGAGAUCAGGAAGAACACCGGUGGCGAAGGCGCUCUGCUAGGCCGCAACUGACACUGAGGGACGAAAGCUAGGGGAGCGAAUGGG